rnacentral:lncRNA from 1 species
AAAAUCCUUUCAUUUUCCAUCUCUUUUCAAUCAGAAAGGUAAAUGAUGUCCUAACGGGGAACCUGGAGUAUAGCUGAGGAACAGUAGGCGGCAAGAGAGAGAGAGAGAGGAUUACCUCCAAAAGAUGAUCUGCCCCAAGGAAGCCAUGGAGAGGGAGUUCCUUCCCACAGUCCUGCUGUGUGUGGGGCCAGAUUUUGAGAGGCCAUGAGCUGAAGCUACAAGAACCCUGGUGUGCCCUGGUGUUGAAGAACUCUGACAAAGCUAAUUUCUUAAUGCUGCUUUGAGGUUCCAGAGAUGUUGAGAAUAUAUUGCACAGAAAAUUAUUCAAGGUCCUAGCACCAACCCAGACAUAAAAGGACUGUAACAAUUGAUGGAUGGGAAGAGGGAUGGGCUUGGACUGUGACCCAUCAAUCAAGCACCUCCUGGAGCUGUCUGACGAGCUGGAUUGACACUGCUAAGGGUGGAAGAGAGCAUGCUGCAUUGGGAAAGAAGGAGCCAUUUAGGCUUGAGCACAAGAGGAAAAAGGGAAGCAAAAGUAAUUUGUUUCUUGAAAUAAAAUCAGCUUCCUUUUUAUUGAUCUUGAGAAAGAAAGUGACAGAGACAAACUGAAUGCAUGUGGACCCCAAAAGCCCUCCUGUGAACGUUUUAGGUGAUUCAUACAGCUGGGCUUCAAACUUCUCACUUAGUAUUGUACAUCUGUCUGUGUGCCAGGCUUCAUGUCUCCUGGGACAGCGAAUCCUGGCCGGGAUAGGA